rnacentral:rRNA from 1 species
GAUGAACGCUGGCGGCGUGCCUAAUACAUGCAAGUCGAGCGAACAGACGAGGAGCUUGCUCCUCUGACGUUAGCGGCGGGCGGGUGAGUAACACGUGGAUAACCUACCUAUAAGACUGGGAUAACUUCGGGAAACCGGAGCUAAUACCGGAUAAUAUAUUGAACCGCAUGGUUCAAUAGUGAAAGACGGUUUUGCUGUCACUUAUAGAUGGAUCCGCGCCGCAUUAGCUAGUUGGUAAGGUAACGGCUUACCAAGGCAACGAUGCGUAGCCGACCUGAGAGGGUGAUCGGCCACACUGGAACUGAGACACGGUCCAGACUCCUACGGGAGGCAGCAGUAGGGAAUCUUCCGCAAUGGGCGAAAGCCUGACGGAGCAACGCCGCGUGAGUGAUGAAGGUCUUCGGAUCGUAAAACUCUGUUAUUAGGGAAGAACAAAUGUGUAAGUAACUAUGCACGUCUUGACGGUACCUAAUCAGAAAGCCACGGCUAACUACGCG